GAUGAACGCUAGCUACAGGCUUAACACAUGCAAGUCGAGGGACCGGCUCACGGGUGAGUAACACGUAUCCAACCUGCCCUUUACUCGGGGAUAGCCUUUCGAAAGAAAGAUUAAUACCCGAUAUAAAGGAUGGGGAUACGUUCCAUUAGGUUGUUGGUGAGGUAACGGCUCACCAAGCCUUCGAUGGAUAGGGGUUCUGAGAGGAAGGUCCCCCACAUUGGAACUGAGACACGGUCCAAACUCCUACGGGAGGCAGCAGUGAGGAAUAUUGGUCAAUGGGCGCUAGCCUGAACCAGACAAGUAGCGUGAAGGAUGAAGGCUUAUGGGUAGUAAACUUCUUUUAUAUAAGAAUAUGUAUUAUAUGAAUAAGGAUCGGCUAACUCCGUGCCAGCAGCCGCGGUAAUUC
rnacentral:rRNA from 1 species